rnacentral:rRNA from 1 species
GAAAUCUAUGCUACAUUAGUGGCAUCGAAAUGUCGUGUAUAGGUUUUACUAUUCUUAAUAGUUAUUUAUUAAAUAAUUGUAUUUAAAUAUACAGCCACAGAAGGUGCCAGCCCUGUUGUUUAAUAAAUACUGUUAAAUUUGUAAAACUUUAGAGUCGUGUUGCUUGGAAGUGCAGCGCAAAGUUGGUGAUAAACAUCAUCUAAGGCUAAAUACUCCUAUGAAUCCGAUAGCGAACAAGUACUGUGAAGGAAAAUUGCAAAGUACUCCGGAGAGAGAGUUAAAGAGGACGUGAAACCGAUACGAUGGAAGCAUACAGAGCCAGUUGCACUAUUAUUAAUAGCAAUAUUAAUAAUUUUAAGCAUGGGUCUAUUGACUGAUGAUUAGUUAUCUAAAAAAGAGUGGUAAAAAUAUAAUUUUUGCUAACUUUUCUAGUAUAAUUAUAUUUUUAGUUAAUAGUUAUAAUGUUAAUGGUUCUAAUAGUUAUAUUAAUGUUAAUGUUUUAUUUAAGCACAUGUGUUUAAGUUUAACAUAUUAAUAUUUAUAUGAUUAUUGUAAGUUAACUAACCUAUGUAA